CAGCGUGCCGUGCUGACCAGGCCCUGCUUAAAUACAUUCUGAUUAAUUAAGUGUUAGCCCGUUUACAUCAGCCCUCCAGCCUGCUUGUCCGCUGUGCAGCAAACUACUGCUUGGUGCUGCAGGAAAGAAAGAUGCCUUUUGCUGUUUGGCUGACUCCAGGCUGGAUCAGCUGGCCAGGUGCACGGCCAAUUUCCAUUGCUGCUUUGAAGCUGAGAAGUAUUUUGAAAAGAAUAGAGCCUUUAGCCCUAAAAGAGCUGCAGAAGGAAAAGGCAAGCACUGGCGUGCUUGUAAGUAGGACAGAACGAGAUUCCCCAUGGACUAGAUGUUUCUGAGAUUGCUUUUAGAGGUACGGUCAGUAUUGCUUCAGCGAGCCGAGGUGGUAGUAAAUACCCUAUUGUAACCAUAGCCGUUACCGUUUCCCAGGGGUAUAGUAUCAGCAGAAUACCUUAUAUAAACAAAAGCAAAACACUAUUGGCUUUGCUCUGCACGGCUGUUUAAUAACACUUUGUGCUCCAUAUAGAGAGCGUCAGAGUGUUUUAUAGAUGCUAAUGAAAUUAGCUUCACGAUGCUCUUGUGAGGUGAGGAUGUGUUAUUAGCCCUUUCCCUGGGCUGAGGACGUGUGUGGUGCAGGACUCCCAGCUGCGUGGGGUGUGCACGCCUGCGCUUUCCAGCAGGAGACAGACCGGUGGGACGGGACCUUCUGCAGCCCCUGGUCUGCUCCACCAGCGCCUCCCUGGCUGGCUUCUGCUGCCUGGCACUGAGGGUCGGUGUGGGAGGAGGUGGCGGUGGUGGUGAGCACGCUGCUGUGUCACCCUCCUGCAAGGCACAGGCUUUCUCCUGGGUCAGAGUGAUCUUCUACCACCCAAGGUCUAAUGAGCAGAGGCAGAAGGUGCAGAUUCUCCUCUUGGGUCACUCAGGGUGUCUCUGCUGCAUUUCAGGACCUUAUGUCAGCUUGCAGUGGUUGAGCUCCAGGACUUUUCCUACCCAGCCAGUGACUCCAGAUAGCAGCCUGGAUGGUAGGGAUGCUGGGGCAGAGCUCUCUCGCUUGCAUUGUGCAUGACUAUGACCUCUUUGGGUAAAAGACAGGAUGUUCGCUGCAGUUUUGCAAUGAACCUGCCCUUCUCAUGCACAGUAGCUCCAGUUUUGUCACAAACAUCAGUACUGGCCCCAGGGCUGUUAUUGGAGCUACCACUGAUGCUUUGCUUUAAAUAGAUCCUAAGCAAAACUCUCUGUUUGUUUUUCUUGACAUGGUACUGACUGGUGCUUUCCAAGAAACAAGGAAAAAAAAGCUGGAUUCACAGUGAUGACUUUGACUCCAUCUGGCAAAAGCAAACUGAUCUCCUAAACGAGAAAGGCGCAGCCAUGAAGAGGAAAAGUAAACGGGUCACUGCGAGAAGCAGCCUGUUCCUUCUGACCCAGUGGCUGCAAGUGACUAAAUCUCACUGGUGCUCAGUUAGAAGAUCCCUACAUUUUAGUACCUGCUUGCAAGAAUACCAAAGGGCUUUCCAGGUACAUGAGAUCUGCAUAUGGAGCUUCAUAGUGGAUUUCAUAAAGUUUCCUGCUCUGCUCGGUAAAUAUUUUGCUUCCAAAUAAUCUUUGCCUUUCUGGAUCGCGUGGCCCGUGAAGCUUGUAGGCUCAUGCCUGUUGCAGGGAUGAACUCCUGACAGAAAGGACUGGGGAGCAGGUGUGCUGGGGAACAGAAGGAGAUGUGCCAGGUGUCCCCCUCUCCCACCCCCCAUGGUGUGCUGUAUUCUCUCUGUGGGUCUGCAGGGUCAUGGUGUCCCAGGCGCUCGGAGGAAGGGAUGAGACCUUCCUCCAAGCUGGGCAGUGGUAAGGGCACUUGUUUUGGAGCUCUCUGGCAGGAGGUAUGGACUUAGGGGUGGCUCAGAGUGGUACCCUGGAGGUCUGUACCUCUUAGACUGGGCAGGGGACCUACCAUGCAUCCUGGGGGAAGAAACUCCUGGGAGCCCCUCAGAGUCUUUCCUAUCCUCUCCUUUGCUGUAUUACUGUCUUCUGGCUGUAGAUUCAGCCAGCAGGAGCUGAAAAACUGCCCUGCCUGUUCGGUACUAACACUCAGGCCAUUGAAAAUGAUCCCAGUGAUUCAGAGUGGAGGAAAAAGGCCGCGCUCAAGCUUGAGCCCCUGUUAUGAAAUGAAGAGAUGAAAAUAGCACUUUUUAGCAUCGUCUCCAUAAUCCAACUCCUCUCCAUCCUCCUAAAGCUUUGUUGGUUGGCAUAUGCCUGCAGCGCUGCCUGUGUUCUCUGUGUCCACAGGGCUCCCUGCCCGGGUGCCCUUGGCCGACAUUCAGCAAGAAGCAAACGCAGCACUCAGGGCUUCAGCUCUGGUGAGUCACCAGCAUUUGGCCAGCAGUGAGCUCAGGCUGUGGCGUUUGGGUAGACCUUCUGAGCCUCUCCCUCAGACCGCUCACGGGCACUUGGAGAUGUGGUCUGGUUUGUCUGGGGAUGAGUGUUCAAACUGGGCUUUCCUACCAGCAGGAAGCUGACUUGGGAAAGCUUUGUGUGAACAGCUGUGAUCUGCUCAGGUUUAGAUCCAAGGCAGGGGGAGUCCUGGUGGGUUUUACGGUUGCUGCUUGCAGCCAAGCUGGCAGAGGUAACAGCAGACAAAGAUGCAGUGAGGGUUCAAGGUGAUGCUUCCUUCUUCCUCAGCUAGAGGUCUGAACUGGCCUUUCCAUCCCUUCGUGAAGUGGCCAUUCUGACCAGUCCACAUCUAAUGGAACUUUGCUUAAGGAAGAGGUGGAAAUCUAGACUCGAGGAGAAUGCUUAGGAGGUAAUUAUUUUCAUGAUGGGCAGAGCCAAACCCCAUAUUACAACACAGGCUGAAACAUGGAUGUACUUGAAGGCUUCAUCAGGUCUGGAUCUAAAUUUUGUGACUGGCUUUGUCUUAAUGACUGGCUGGACUGUGUGCUCCUGAAAUCCAAACCGCCCACCUCCUAAAGCUCCACCUCUGGAGAGGAGUUGCCAACAGCAUUACCUAUACAUAGCACAUUGGGUGGGCUUCUCAUUGUGGGAGUGGUGGUGGCAAAAAAUGAAGUUUAUUUUUUU